rnacentral:tRNA from 1 species
AAAUAAGAAGCGAUUAUUUGCAAUCAGUUUCGACCUGAAUCUAGGUGUCUCCACCCUUAUUUA